CGGGAACGUGACGUCGGCACGACGCUGGGGCCCCGGGCACAGGCCGCAUUUGGAUAACGCCAUUCCCCACACCCUCGUUUUAGACUCCAGGGUGAACGUGUUCCUUCCCAGGCAGGCGGGAGGGAACGCGGCUCUCGCCCAGCGAGAUCCUAACCCCAGCAGCGUAAACAGGGGGUAGCGCAUUGAGAAACGAGCUAUCGGAGUUUGGCUUGUUUCCUCCCACAGCUGUGAUCGACGGCGCUAAGAACGGUGGAGGAUCUGCCGAAGAGUCCAUGUGAAAGAAAACUCGUGUGUGUGAGCUCAUAUGCUGAGAACUUGGGGAAGAUGAAGGCCUGCCUGAAGCGAAGCAUCGUCCCUGCCCUUGGGAGCACCAGCUCCAUUUCCCUGCUGACAACAGAGGUGGCCCUCAGUGGUCACGAGGGGACACGAAGAUCCAGGGGACGGCCCGUCACUCCGGCCCAAGCCGGCCCUGCGGACACGGUGCCUGAUUCCCGGAUGAGUCCUCCGCGCGAGGCUUUCCUGCAGACAGGUCUGUUGCUUCACAGCAAUGGGGCUUCUUUACGAGCCGUUCUCAACCCGGGGGCAGUUUGUUCAGCCCACGCCCACCCCAGGGGCCCUGGGCAGUCCAUGCCGGGUGACAUUUCUGGAUGUGACAUCGAGUGGGCGAAGCCAGGGACGCUGCAUCCCACGAUGUGCGGCACAGCCUGCGGCAGAGCCGCUCUGGCUCCGCCGUCCGUCUCUCCCAGGGGGAGACCCCCCGACGCUUUGUGUCUCUGACCCUCCUACUGAACGGUUUCUUCCCGUCACGGCUUCUUACCAAAAAUUCCAAUUGUGAAACUUUCAGAAAUACACGUGUUCUGAGCAGCGGUGAUGGGAGGGUCAGAGAAAAGAACAGGAGAACAAGGAACAAGUAUCUCAUUGCAAAUAUUUCAUAUUAAAAAAAUG